CGCGAAUAGCUCAUUACAACAGCUAUAAUUUACUUGAAUUUGACAACCCUACUUGGAUACCGGUGGUAAUUCUAGCGCUAAUACAUGCACCAAAGCUCCGACCGCGAGGGAAGAGCGCAUUUAUUAGAACAAAACCACACGGCUUCGGCCGUCCAAUGUUGACUCAGAAUAACUAAGCUGAUCGCAUGGUCUUGCACCGGCGACGUUUCUUUCAAGUAUCUGCCUUAUCAACUUUCGAUGGUAGUGUAUCUGACUACCAUGGUGAUGACGGGUAACGGAGGAUAAGGGUUCGACUCCGGAGAAGGGGCCUGAGAAAUGGCUACUACGUCUAAGGAUGGCAGCAGGCGCGCAAAUUACCCACUCUCAACAUGAGGAGGUAGUGACGAGAAAUAACGAGACUGUUCUCUUAUGAGGCCAGUUAUUGGAAUGGGUACAAUUUAAACCCUUUAACGAGUAUCUAUGAGAGGGCAAGUCUGGUGCCAGCAGCCGCGGUAAUUCCAGCU
rnacentral:rRNA from 1 species